rnacentral:ncRNA from 2 species
CCCCCUAAAUUUAAGCUAAUUAAUAAGGGGAGCAAAAGAAACUAACAAGGAUUCCCUGAGUAGGUGCGAGCGAAACGGGAAGAGCUCAGCACGCAGGGGCGAUGCACUGGUGUAUCUGCCCGGUUCCGCGUACUGGAGAGUUCGUUAUCUGCCUCAACCGGUUGCUGGUUCAAGUUCAACUAGAAUGUGGCUUUUACUCCCGUAGAGCGGCGCACCGGUGGUAGAAGAUCUUUCCAUGGAGUCGUGUUGCUUGAUAGUGCAGCACAAAGUGGGAGGUAAACUCCUAAAGCUAAACAUUAUCACGAGACCGAUAACGAACAAGUACCGCGAGGGAAAGUUAAAAAGCACUCUGAAUAGAGAGUCAAAAAGUACGUGAAACUGCCUAGGGCUCAAGCCCCUUGAAUUCGAUUAUCCGAGCGGAGACAUUCACCUGCGAUUAGCCGGCGACGGCACGGCCGCAGGGCACUUGUCUCGCACUA